CCCCCUUGGUUAUGUCCACAUUGGGCAAGUUUUCUUUCAUGAUAACCAUACAUGACAUGUUAUCUAUCAGUUAGACAACAGAGGCCUGGAGGAAGAGGCAGGAGGCAGGCACACACAGCAGGAAGUGUGACUAAGCUGACGUAUGCAGAAACCCCACUGCCAGCUCUAUAGAAGCAAGACCACAGAGCCACCCAGUUCCAGUGACACUGCAAAGGGCCUGGCAGGUGGAGACCAAACAAGAGCCAUUUCACUAACAGGAAGAUCCCCCAGGAUGCAGUCCAGACUCCCCGCUCUAUUGUGCACAGUGGUGGCCUUCAUCAGCUUUGGUUCCAGCAAUACACAGAGUGUCACUCAAUAUCCAAGUUCGGUGCAUAAACAAGAGGGAGAAUCUGCGAAUUUGUUCUGCCGUUUCACACUCAGCUAUACUUACUAUGUGAUGAGCUGGUUUCAACAGCCUUCCAAUGGAAAGAUGACUGAAAUCAUUUAUCUUUAUUCUGAUAGCACAAACGCUAAGAAAGGACGAUAUUCUGUGUCAUAUCAGGCAAGAGACAAAGCACUAAGUCUCACCAUCACAGGCCUGAUGCCUACAGACUCAGGCGUCUAUUUCUGUGCUGUUGGAGAAGCUGCACGGUGAGAGGAAUGACGGGGAGAGCCUUACAAAAAC